rnacentral:rRNA from 1 species
UACGUAGGGGGCAAGCGUUAUCCGGAAUUACUGGGCGUAAAGCGCACGCAGGCGGUUUGCCAAGUUUGGAGUGACAGUUGUUGGCUCAACCGACAAAGGACUUCAAAAACUGGUGAACUUGAGGACGAGAGAGGAACAUGGAACUCCAGUGGAGUAGUGAAAUGCGUAGAUAUCUGGAAGAACACCAAUGGCGAAGGCAAUGUUCUGGACUCGUUUCUGACGCUCAGGUGCGAAAGCCAGGGGAGCGAACGGG